GUGCUUGCUUCGGCAGCACAUAUACUAAAAUUGGAACAAUACAGAGAAGAUUACCAUGGCCCCUGUGCAAGGAUGAUACUCAAAUUUGUGAAGCGUUCCAUAUUUUU
ensembl:snRNA U6 U6 spliceosomal RNA